GGCUCAGGAUGAACGCUGGCGGCGUGCUUAACACAUGCAAGUCGAACGGUGAAGCCAAGCUUGCUUGGUGGAUCAGUGGCGAACGGGUGAGUAACACGUGAGCAACCUGCCCUGGACUCUGGGAUAAGCGCUGGAAACGGCGUCUAAUACUGGAUAUGAGACGUGAUCGCAUGGUCGUGUUUGGAAAGAUUUUUCGGUCUGGGAUGGGCUCGCGGCCUAUCAGCUUGUUGGUGAGGUAAUGGCUCACCAAGGCGUCGACGGGUAGCCGGCCUGAGAGGGUGACCGGCCACACUGGGACUGAGACACGGCCCAGACUCCUACGGGAGGCAGCAGUGGGGAAUAUUGCACAAUGGGCGGAAGCCUGAUGCAGCAACGCCGCGUGAGGGAUGACGGCCUUCGGGUUGUAAACCUCUUUUAGCAGGGAAGAAGCGUAAG
rnacentral:rRNA from 1 species